AUUGAACGCUGGCGGCAUGCCUUACACAUGCAAGUCGAACGGCAGCGCGGGAGCAAUCCUGGCGGCGAGUGGCGAACGGGUGAGUAAUAUAUCGGAACGUGCCCAGUAGUGGGGGAUAGCCCGGCGAAAGCCGGAUUAAUACCGCAUACGACCUACGGGUGAAAGGGGGGGAUCGCAAGACCUCUCGCUAUUGGAGCGGCCGAUAUCAGAUUAGGUAGUUGGUGGGGUAAAGGCCUACCAAGCCUGCGAUCUGUAGUUGGUCUGAGAGGACGACCAGACACACUGGGACUGAGAAACGGCCCAGACUCCUACGGGAGGCAGAAGUGGGGAAUUUUGGACAAUGGGCGCAAGCCUGAUCCAGCAAUGCCGCGUGCAGGAAGAAGGCCUUCGGGUUGUAAACUGCUUUUGUCAGGGAAGAAAUCCUCUAGGCUAAUACCUUGGGGGGAUGACGGUACCUGAAGAAUAAGCACCGGCUAACUACGUGCCAGCAGCCGCCGUAAUAC
rnacentral:rRNA from 1 species